rnacentral:piRNA from 1 species
GAGGAGAGGUGGGGCUCUGCA